ACCUUACAUGUAUGUUUCUAGCGGCUAUAGGCUGACUCGCCUCGCUAUACACAUACUUUUUGGAGUUAGGCAGUAACUCAAGGCUUAGAUACCUUGUUUUUUCAUAAUUUUUGGAGUUAAACGUAGCUCCAAAUGAUUAUUGGAGUUAGCCAGUAACCCCAAGCUUAGAUGCCUAGCUCCUAAAUUAUUGUUGCAGUUGUAUACUUAGCUCCAAAUGAUUUUUGGAGUUAGCCCUUUAGAGCUUGGAGGUAGCGUCGCUCCAUAACUUCCUACUUUCUACAGGCAUGUAUCUUGAUCUUUAAAGUACUUCUUUUCACAAACAGGCAAGAACUCCGAGCAAAAUAUAGAGCGGCAACACACCCUAAAUUAAUAAAAUAUAAUUUAGUCUCUGGAAUGCUAUUGCAGCAUAAAAAUACAAAUAUAGACUUCUGAUUGGUGGAUAUUUACAAAAGACCCUAAUUAAUCAAUAGAUUGGAUGGCGGGUAUAGAAAUUAUAAAUUCUGAAUCACAAUUUUGUAUGCCAAUAAGAUUCAAAUUCCCUCAUUAUACUAGACCGCGAGCAGGCCCUUCGGGAGAAAGGAGGGACUGCCGACAACACACCAAGAAACGAAAUACGGAAAACUCCCAUUGGGUCAUUCCAGAAAAGAUCCAUACCCCCCUACGGAGGAAAUCGAAAAUAACCCCCUCCCCCCCUUCGGACAUCUUGGAAUGGUUCAUCCUCCCCCCCUCUCCGGACAUCCAAGCCCAAAAUUACCCCCCUCCCCUUCGGACAUCCACUAUUUCUAAAUUUUUCUAAAGGCUACCUCGCCGUUUGAAAACGUCACCGAAAAAUUAGAUUACGUUCACACGACGCACAAGCGAACUAAUGCGGGCAGAAUUUAUGUGUGUUCAUACUACCGCCAUUACAGUUUGUUUACAAAUUGAAUUAGCACUCGUGUAAACCCAAAAUAUUUCAAAUAAACCCACGAAAAUUAACUGAAAAGCAUUCGAGUUUACACGUUUGUGUUCACACGAAGCUAUCAAGCGCUCCGCCGUUUUCACCUCGCUCCGUUUAGAAACCGUGCUCAAAUUGUUACGGCAAAAGUGACAUGAAAGUUUUCAAACGAUUUCGCUCCAGCGUAGAGUGAAUUAGCGAUGGCUUAUUGUGACUUUUCUACGCUGUUCUCAAAUAGCUCCGGCGUGGCGGAACACUUGGCGGCUUCUUGUGACUUGCGAACACAAACACGUGGCAGGUCUUGUCGGAUAAUUUGCAGAAAUUCACUUCGAAAUUCGGACAAGCAUUGCUGUGUUUACUUCCAUGUUAAUACAAUUUUUAGUAUUACUGCAUUCCUUAACCUCGCCCUUAAUAUGAAAGCCAUUUCUAUUUUCUAGACAUGCACCUCACAAGGUACCCUGGAAUCCAGGGUACUCACAAGGAAGCUUUAUUGACUAUAUACUAAAACAAAUUGUUUUGAGUCCAGUUCACAUAGCAGUCUCUUAAUUCGAGCAACAGUUUAAUAACUAUUAUUUUUAACACUUGAAUAAUUCAAACUUAU